rnacentral:rRNA from 1 species
AUGAUAGGCCUAAGCUGGAACUGCCGAGGAAUCAGGGGCGCCUCGACAGUUCGUGAUCUCACUGCCCUCGUUCAGUGUCAUCAUCCACAGUUUGUGUUUUUGUGUGAAACUCGGCAAAGUGCGAAAAAUAUCAGCCGUCUUCGUUCUCGGUUAGGUCUUCGUGGUUUUUGUGGAAUUGAUAGUGUGGGUCAAAGUGGUAGCCUUGCUCUGUUUUGGAAUGAUCAAUUAUCAGUUGAGAUAAAGGAGAAGAAAGAGAGGUUUAUUGAUGCUCAUAUUCGUGCUUCCUCAACUGAUCCCUUUUGGCAUUUAACUUGUGUGUAUGGUGAACCGCGUACUGAAAACCGUCAUCGGAUGUGGACCAUCUUGUCUGACAUCCGAGCAUCGAGCGACCUUCCGUGGAUGCUCAUGGGAGAUUUUAAUGAAGCUAUGUGA